AUGGCUUCUUCAAAGCUUCAAGCUUUUUGGAACCAUCCUGCUGGCCCCAAAACCAUUCAUUUUUGGGCUCCAACAUUUAAAUGGGGUAUCAGCAUUGCGAACAUUGCCGAUUUCGCCAAGCCACCUGAAAAGAUAUCCUAUCCUCAGCAAGUUGCUGUUGCUUGCACUGGAAUCAUCUGGUCACGCUACAGCAUGGUCAUUACACCGAAAAACUGGAACCUUUUCAGUGUAAACGUUGCAAUGGCUGGCACAGGCUUGUAUCAGCUUUCCCGUAAAAUAAGGAAAGACUACUUUGCAGAUGAGAAAGAGGUUGCCGCAUCGCUGGAAGGAUAG
rnacentral:rRNA from 1 species